GACGAACGCUGGCGGCGUGCUUAACACAUGCAAGUCGAACGGAAAGGCCCUGCUUGCAGGGUACUCGAGUGGCGAACGGGUGAGUAACACGUGGGUGAUCUGCCCUGCACUUCGGGAUAAGCCUGGGAAACUGGGUCUAAUACCGGAUAGGAGCCAUUUUUCGUGUGAUGGUUGGAAAGUUUUUUCGGUGUAGGAUGAGCUCGCGGCCUAUCAGCUUGUUGGUGGGGUAAUGGCCUACCAAGGCGGCGACGGGUAGCCGGCCGGAGAGAGUGGACGGCCACAUUGGGACUGAGAUACGGCCCAGACGCCGACGGGAGGCAGCAGUGGGGAAGAUUGCACAAUGGGCGCAAGCCGGAUGCAGCGACGCCGCGUGGGGGAUGACGGCCUUCGGGUUGUAGACUACUUGCGCUAGGGACGAAGCUUUUUGUGACGGUACCUAGAGAAGAAGCACCGGCUAACUACGUG
rnacentral:rRNA from 1 species